UACGUAGGGUGCAAGCGUUGUCCGGAAUUAUUGGGCGUAAAGAGCUCGUAGGCGGUUUGUCGCGUCUGCUGUGAAAAUCCAGGGCUUAACCCUGGACCUGCAGUGGGUACGGGCAGACUGGAGUGCGGUAGGGGAGAUCGGAAUUCCUGGUGUAGCGGUGAAAUGCGCAGAUAUCAGGAGGAACACCGGUGGCGAAGGCGGAUCUCUGGGCCGUAACUGACGCUGAGACGCGAAAGCGUGGGGAGCAAACAGG
rnacentral:rRNA from 1 species